GCUGACAUGGGUUACGUUAGCUGUAGAGCUGAUCAUGGGUAGUAACUUGUAGCCUUAAGAGCUGACUCUAUGGGUAGUAACUGUUAGUGUAGAGCCUGACUCUAUGGGUAGUAACUGUUAGCUGUAGAGCUGACUCUAUGGAGUAACUGUUAGCUGUAGAGCUGACUCAAUGGGUAGUAACUGUUAGCCUUAGAGCUGACUCUAUGGGUAGUAACUGUUAGCUGUAGAGCUGACUCUAUGGGUAGUAAGUUUAGCUGUAGAGCUGACUCUAUGGGUAGUAACUGUUAGCUGUAGAGCUGGACUCUAUGGUAUGUACAUGUUAGCCUUAGAGCUGACUCUAUGGGUAGUAACUGUUAGCCUUAGAGUGGACCAUGGGUAGUAACUGUUAGCAUGUAGAGCUGAACUCUAUGGGUAGUAACGUUAGCUGUAGAGCUGACUCUAU
rnacentral:lncRNA from 1 species